CCUGAAAAUGGAUGGCGCUGGAGCGUCGGGCCCAUACCCAGCCAUCGCCGGCAACGGGAGCCACAAAGGCUAGGCCGCGAUGAGUAGGAGUGCUGCCGCAGUGAACACGGAAGCCCAGGACGUGGGCCUGGGUGGAACCGCUGCGGGUGCAGAGCUUGGUGGUAGUAGCAAAAAUUCAAACAAGAACUUUGAAGGCAGAAAUGGAGAAGGGUUCUAUGUGAACAGCAGUUGAACAUGGGU
rnacentral:ncRNA from 1 species